GGGCUGUGGCUGCCCAGCGAGCGCAGGAACGUGGUUUGCAGCUGUGCUCCACAGCUGAGCAGAACGGCCGGACCCAGAGAGGAGCCUCCAUGGGCUCAUAUAAGAGCCAGCCAGUGGAAGGAAAAUCUCUUGGACCUGGGCAGCUUUCUGAGGAGGUGCUCUGUGCAGCCUGAGAGCCCCUUCGCCAGCGGGCUCUGGGGAGCUCCAUGCAGCAAGGCAGUGACCCCUGGUUCCUUCCCCACACUUCGGGCAGUGCUGACAGUGAGCAUCAUUCCUAUCCGUCCUGGGACAAGACCUUCUGACUCCUGCAGUGUUUUGUGGGUAGGGAGAAAGAGCAAGCAAGGAGUCUGAAGCUACUGGGUGUCUGCAUCCAACCUUCCAUCCCGUGGGGCUGGUCUCUUCUCACUGGUGAUGAGACGAGGGGAAAUGACUUCAAUGUGCCAGGGAAGGAACCUCCUCUCUUCUGCCUUGCAAGAACAUCAGCAGUGAUCUGCUCUUCCAGGAUCCCUCUAGCUGAAGAAACCUGAUGCAGUGAUUGGAGCCAUUUAAAUAUUUCACAAUGAGACACUAAAUUUGCUGCUUUCCCCAAGAGAUGCUUGGGGAGAUGCCCUGUCCUUGACUGGCUGCUGACACUGAGCUGGCUGCUUCAUUAAUUGCAGCGCUGCUGGGCAGGGUGUCGUAAAGCCACUGCUCAGCAUUCAUAAGUGGGGACUGCGUAUUUAUACUCAGCAUUGUGCUGUGCCAUUAAUUUACCAGAACACAAACUGAAGUGGUAGUUAUUAGCAGUGCCCAUUUAUUAUAGCCGUUUUAUUUUUCAUGUCCUUUGAACAUUAAUUGCUCUUUUUAAUAGGAUAGAGUUGGUCGAACAGAUGUGAAAUAAAUGAUACAGGUCUGUUCAGUAAAUGCGUUUUAACUUAUUUCCCUCUCUUUAUUAAUAUCCCACCUAUGCAAACGCACCAUUUGAGAUUAUUCUGAGUGCUCGAUAGACUCCCGUGGCAAAGUGUCACCAACAGUUAUCACUGACUUUAAAAUCAAUCGGUGUCGUGAUGUUCUGGCACGGAGUGGUUCAGCAGUGGGUCGCUGUGCUGGGAAGCACAGGGAGAGCAGUGCCCCUCCGUGUCGCUGCCAGGCACAGCCACGCUGCGUGGGGCAUUGCGAUGGAAACUGAAGGCUAUCGUGGGUGAUGACGUUCCGUUGGUCGGAUAGCGGUUACUUCUGAAGCUUACAUGGCAGUAAAUAAUUUAAUUCCCUUCAUGCAGUUGUAUUACUUAAUGGGGAAAAAAGUAGGUACCCAACCGUUUGGGUAGCAGCUCACCAUCCCUGGUGACGUUAAGUAACUACAGAUGUGUUAUCUGGAAGAAUUCUGGGAGCUUUCAUUGCAAACAACCUUCAAUAAUAAAAUUAAUGGUUGUGGUUAUGGCCUAAAUUAA